rnacentral:rRNA from 1 species
GACGAACGCUGGCGGCGUGCUUAACACAUGCAAGUCGAACGGUAAGGCCCCAGCUUGCUGGGGUACACGAGUGGCGAACGGGUGAGUAACACGUGGGUGACCUGCCCCGCACUUCGGGAUAAGCCUGGGAAACUGGGUCUAAUACCGGAUAGGACCGCACCGUGAGGGUGUGGCGGAAAGUUUUUCGGUGUGGGAUGGGCCCGCGGCCUAUCAGCUUGUUGGUGGGGUAAUGGCCUACCAAGGCGGCGACGGGUAGCCGGCCUGAGAGGGUGGACGGCCACAUUGGGACUGAGACACGGCCCAGACUCCUACGGGAGGCAGCAGUGGGGAAUAUUGCACAAUGGGCGGAAGCCUGAUGCAGCGACGCCGCGUGGGGGAUGACGGCCUUCGGGUUGUAAACUCCUUUCACCAUCGACGAAGGUUUUCUGACGGUAGAUGGAGAAGAAGCACCGGCUAACUACGUG